UCUGCGUGGCAUCACCAAACGUUUUGUGUGCUUCGGUUGUCGCAAGCAGAGAAACGGCGUUUCUCAUCAACAUGGCAGUUUUAAAUGGCGUGCUGAUCGUACAAACACGGUGUUCUUUAGAAAACCUUGAAGUAAUAUGAAGGUUUUGACUGGAGCUUUGUUAUUUUGCUGUGUCUUUCCAAAGUUUCCGGUUUACACGUGCCUGUCAAAUGCUUUAGUCUUGUGUUAAAACCUCGCAUGUUUAUACAGACAUCUUUUGCGGUUAGAAUUAUUUCAACCCCCCCCCCUCCUCAAGAUAAAAUUAUUUAUAAUUUUUGUGUAGCGAACAUGAAAAGUGAUGUGUUAAUGCUUGUGAAGUGUUGUGUCAUUCUCCUUAUGGAACGUGUGAAGAAUUUUUUGUAUACUUUACUAAGAGCGAUGUACCUGUAUACUAUAAGAGUGUGAGUGAUACGUUCAAAGUAGAAGAGGAUUUCCUUCAGUGUUCUUCAGACGCAACUCCAUGGGGCAUUUGGUUACCUUUGAACUUCAAAAGCUGUUUCGUCGCCAACGCCUGCUUCGUAAAAGGAUCAGUGGACUGAUUUAGCGAUCGGUGAAUCAGGUACGAACCAGAUUUUAAACCUAACAAAACAACGAAAGCGACUACUGUAUCAUAGAGACCUGCGCCUAGAUCCUUGUAAUCUUCGUGAAAAAAUGGAGCAGGGUAAUUUCUGCAAAUCACACUACUUU